rnacentral:rRNA from 1 species
GACGUAGGGCGCGAGCGUUGUCCGGAUUUAUUGGGCGUAAAGAGCGUGUAGGCGGCCAGACAGGUCCGUUGUGAAAACUCGAGGCUCAACCUCGAGACGCCGAUGGAAACCGUCUGGCUAGAGUCCGGAAGAGGAGAGUGGAAUUCCACGUGUAGCGGUGAAAUGCGUAGAGAUGUGGAGGAACACCAGUGGCGAAGGCGACUCUUUGGCCUGUAACUGACACUGAGGCGCGAAAGCGUGGGGAGCAAACAGG